UACGUAGGCAGCGAGCGUUGUUCGGAAUUACUGGGCGUAAAGAGUGUGUAGGCGGUGCUCUAAGUUCGGUGUGAAAUCUCCUGCUUAACUGGGAGGGUGCGCCCGAAAACUGGAGUGCUCGAGCGUGGGAGAGGAAAGCGGAAGUCCUGGUGUAGCGGUGAAAUGCGUAGAUAUCAGGAGGAACACCUGCGGUGUAGACGGCUUUCUGGACCAUUGCUGACGCUGAGACACGAAAGCGUGGGUAGCAAACAGG
rnacentral:rRNA from 1 species